rnacentral:rRNA from 1 species
UACGGAGGGUGCGAGCGUUACCCGGAUUUACUGGGUGUAAAGGGCGUGUAGGCGGGCUCGCGCGUCCCAUGUGAAAGGCCACGGCUCAACCGUGGAGGAGCGUGGGAUACGCUCAGGCUAGACGGUGGGAGAGGGUGGUGGAAUUCCCGGAGUAGCGGUGAAAUGCGCAGAUACCGGGAGGAACGCCGAUGGCGAAGGCAGCCACCUGGUCCACAUGUGACGCUGAGGCGCGAAAGCGUGGGGAGCAAACCGG